rnacentral:rRNA from 1 species
UGAGUAACACGUAUCCAACCUGCCGUCUACUCUUGGCCAGCCUUCUGAAAGGAAGAUUAAUCCAGGAUGGCAUCAUGAGUUCACAUGUCCGCAUGAUUAAAGGUAUUUUCCGGUAAAGGAUGGGGAUGCGUUCCAUUAGGUUGUUGGUGAGGUAACGGCUCACCAAGCCUUCGAUGGAUAGGGGUUCUGAGAGGAAGGUCCCCCACAUUGGAACUGAGACACGGUCCAA